UGCGCAUAUGCCCACUGCUGUAGCCUGAAGGUGAAAAGAUCUAAGACCAUGCGUAUAGGACAUACCAUGUGCUUCAUAUGCAGAUGGUCACUUCUGGGCACACCAUCCUUCCUGGCCAAGUCGCGUAAAA